GACGAACGCUGGCGGCGUGCUUAACACAUGCCAGUCGAACGGAAAGGCCCUGCUUUUGUGGGGUGCUCGAGUGGCGAACGGGUGAGUAACACGUGAGUAACCUGCCCUUGACUUUGGGAUAACUUCAGGAAACUGGGGCUAAUACCGGAUAGGAGCUCCUGCUGCAUGGUGGGGGUUGGAAAGUUUCGGCGGUUGGGGAUGGACUCGCGGCUUAUCAGCUUGUUGGUGGGGUAGUGGCUUACCAAGGCUUUGACGGGUAGCCGGCCUGAGAGGGUGACCGGGCACAUUGGUACUGAGAUACGGCCCAGACUCCUACGGGAGGCAGCAGUGGGGAAUAUUGCACAAUGGGCGGAAGCCUGAGGCAGCAACGCCGCGUGCGGGAUGACGGCCUUCGGGUUGUAAACCGCUUUCGCCUGUGACGAAGCGUGAGUGACGGUAAUGGGUAAAGAAGCACCGGCUAACUACGUG
rnacentral:rRNA from 1 species